CUUACUCUCUCAUCUUACUUCUACAAUCUAGAUUCACUUACACAAGCAAUCCACUCCAUCAUUAGACUCCAACCACUCUUAACUGUUCAGACCUAACACCCUCUUCUAACUUAGUACUUAGCUCAGACAACAACACACUCUUUCUUUUCAUUUGGGCCUUAGUUUAUUCGGAGCCCAUUACUAAAAACAACCCUAAGCCCAUAAUCUUUUUGUUGACUUUUCUUCUUCUUCUUUGACUCCCUUCUUCUUCGACGCUUUUCUUCUUCUUCAACCAAGUUUCUUCUUCUUCUUCUCCUCACUGUAAUUCUUUUGAUUCUUAAUCAUCUUCUCUUUCUCAAUUGCAGGUUCAAUCGGAGACUCAACCUUCAACACUCCCUCUUGAGUUUUCGAUUGUAACUCUCGAUUCCAAGUUAGGAUUUUGAUUGAUAUCUUCCCUUUGCCACUGCUGGUUCCUUUUCGCUUGAUCGGAUGCGAGCUUUUCAAGACGUCGGCAUAAGUCAUCGAUAAUCAGGAUGGAAAUUUAUGUCGCCAAACUUGAUGGCAUAAUCUGGAUGAAGGCUCAUGUCUCCAAUCUUGAUGACGUUCGUUUUUCCAACCGGAGAUUUCUUCUCUAGUCCACUUUUUCUCCCUCUUAAUCUCAGUUUCAGAAUUUCUCUGGUUCUUAACUUCAAUCACUGAUUUUCCCUUCACAGCUUUAUCUCCAUGCUUCUUAGCUUGAUACAUCACAGAUUUGUUUUUGUUUUCAACAUUCUUCUUAGUACACCAAGGUUGCAGCGUUUUUUGAUUUGCAAUUUUAGUGUCUCCAGCUCCUUGACAACAUGAUUUCACCUUUUCUUUUGCAGCAACCAUUGUUGCUUCUUCAUUCUCUGGCAUCUUAAGAUGAUAACUCUUUUUGAUCAUUGGCACCUCAGCUAUCUUCCUUCCAGCGGGAUUAUGAAUGCUCCAUUACCUACAUGGAUAGGAACAUUGAAGCUUGUGUUGAGGUUAAUGAACAGUUUCUCCUGUGAGGUCAUGUGAUUUGUGCAUCCACUAUCAAUGAGCCAGACAUUUUCUUCUAGUGUUUCUUCAUCUUCUUGUCUUGCUGUGAACAUAUGUCAUUUAUUAGAUGACCUACCUUGCCACAGCGGAAACAGCUUCUGGUUUCUCUGUUUGUGUUAAAAUUCGAUUUCGGAAAUGUGCAUGGAAGGCUCCUUCUGCUUCUUCUUCAUCCUCAGGAAAGAAUUUCUUCUCAUGUGCCUCAAGAGAUCCAACCAGCUCAGCAUAGAGCCCUCAUCUGAUUUGCUACAGCCUGAAUCCUAUCAGAGAGUGCUCUAGCAGCUUCCAUGCUUGAUGUGCUGAGGUUGCUGAGAGAAUCUUGUCAAACACCACAUCUGCCACUCCAUGUUGAAGAAUUUGAAGAGCAGCAGUAUCCUUAGCUUUGAGUGCCUUCAAGUUUGCAGCUUCUUUGGUCUUGUCUGCUCCUGGAGUCUCUGGUGACUGAGAUCCCGGAUCUGGAACUCCAUCUUUUACUACCUCCCACAGAUCUUUGUUCAUCAGGGUUGUUUUCAUUCUUGCUGCCCAGAACUCAUAGUUCUGUCCAUCAAAAACAGCAACAAGUUGUGAAGAUUGCAAGGCUCCAAGAUCAAGUGUGCUCUGAUACCAUGUUGCAAUUCUCAAAUUUUACUCAGGUUCAAUCGGAGACUCAACCUUCAACAAAUUUCCUUGGCUCUAAAUGAAUAGUUU